rnacentral:rRNA from 1 species
CGUCUAUAUACGUAUAGCAUAUCAAUAAGCGGAGGAAAAGAAACUAACUAGGGUUCCCUCAGUAACGGCGAGUGAAGCGGGAAGAGCUCAAAUUUGAAAUCUUAAAGGUUUUCCCUUGACGAAUUGUAGUUUAAAGAAGUGUUUUCUGUUGGAAUUUUCGGUAAAAGUUCUUUGGAAAUAGGACAUCAUAGAGGGUGAGAAUCCCGUAUUUGACCAUUACUUUCCAGCUGUGUGAUACACUUUCAAAGAGUCGGAUUGUUUGGGAAUGCAGUCCAAAAUAGGGUGGUAAAUUUCAUCUAAAGCUAAAUACUGGCGAGAGACCGAUAGCGAACAAGUACCGUGAGGGAAAGAUGAAAAGAACUUUGAAAAGAGAGUUAAACAGUACGUGAAAUUGUCAAAAGGGAAGCGUUUGACACCAGUGUUGUUUUCUCGAAAAUCAACUUAAAAAGAUGUGGAUUUUGUGUUGUAUUGACUUUAUCAGCUUUCUGCACUCUUUUUCUAGUCUUUUUUAAUGCACUUUUCGUUUAACAAGUCAACAUCAAUUUCUUUUGUUGUAAAAGGGUCAUUGGAAGGUGGCUUUCUUUUCGGAGAAAGUGUUUAUAGCCUUUGGCUUCUGCAAUCGGAGAGAUUGAGGUCUGCAGCGUAGACUCCUUCUUGGGAUUAGAUACCUUUGUGCUAAGCUAUAGCCUUUUAUAGACAACAUUGUUGACUAUAUCUCAGUCAUGUAACUUACUCGCUUAUGUAAUUUUACCUACGCUUAGGAUGUUGACGAUCAGCUGAGCGCG